rnacentral:lncRNA from 1 species
AUGGGAAGCACCGUUGCCAGCACCAUGAGGGUCAUAAAGAGGCCCAGUCACAUUGGGAUGGAAGUCCUCAUCCUCAGGCUCAGAGUGGUGAAUGGGAGGCGUGCCUUGCUCAGCCCCAGAGUGGAGACAAAUGGGUGUGGAAUUCACCAUAAUCUAUGGCAAGAAAUGGCCCUUACCCAUGGGAUUGAGAAUAUUAAUGCCAGGAAGAGGUCAGACAUUGAUAUUGAAGAGCAGACCUGUGUUGGAAUGAAUGCAGUUCUAGGGCGAGACUGGUGAAUGAAGAAGGGUAAGUAUGAAUGAGGGCUGACUAGAGCAUGACAGAGAAGAAGGUCAAAAGUACCACAUGUUAAGCUGAAGCCAAGGUUUUUGGGUUUUUUUUUCUCUUUUUUUGGCCAUCCCCAUGGCAUAUGGAGUUCCUGGGCCAGGGACCAGAUCUCAGCCAGAGCUGCUGGACCCUUAACCCACUUAACUCAUUGUGCCAGGCCAGGGAUUGAACCUGAGUGCUAGGGCUCCAGAGACACUUCUGAUCCUGCUGCACCAUAGCAGGAACUCCUGAAGCCAAGAGUCUAAUGAAAGAUUAAGGUGUUCUAAUAAAAGACAGCAAGUGCUCAGCAAAUGCUUCUCAACUGGAUAAAUCAGAAGAUGCUGGUCAGGGGAUCCUUGGCGGGUGAAGGUGCAGAGGCAACCAGCUUGGGAUGUUAAGGGUCUGCAGAGAGUGUAAUUGCGGCUUGAACUGGGGGCAUCCUUGGAAGAGUAGGUACCAAGCAACAGGAACAGAACACCGAAGCUGGGCUUGGUUAAGUGGGAUGGGGCAGAAACUGCUAAUGGCUUACCAGUAUCUACUCUCCCCAUUGUAACACAACCCAGAUUUUAAACUAGAUGACAAGGUGCCCAGUUGAAAGACAACAUUAGUCAGUCAUAUUUGCAGCUGGGAUGGCCACUAAGGUAUAAACAGAAGUUGGAACUAUAUUCAAUAUCCUGUGAUAAACCAUAAUGGAGAAGAAUAUGAAAAAGAAUAUAUAUGGUAUACAUAUGCAUAACUGAAUCACUUUACUGUAGAGCAGAAAUUAACAUAGCAUUGUAAAUCAACUACAUCUCAAUAAAUUUUUUUUAAAAAAGAGUUAUAAGUGGAGGUUGUUGCACGGGGGGUGGGGGGCGCUCUUCUGUGAAGAGGUGAUAGAAUACUAACAUACUUGUAUUUUUCCCUUUUCCCUUCUUCCUGUGCCUUCCUAGAAACGAAAGAUCAAUGUGAUGGUUAGAUCUUCAGCUAUUGAGUCAUGUAGUGAAUUUGAAAAUGGAAGCCAUAUCCUAAGGACAGCAGAACAAAAAGAUAGAGGAAACCUGGAACAUUGAUGACUCUGUAGCUCCCAUACCACUCAGAAUUCAGCCUUCCUUUGUAUGAGAAAUAAGAUAUUAUCUUAUUGAAGCUACUAUUAUUUCCUCCUUCACCUGGGACAUCACAAGCCUAGGGAUCUUUGGAAGGUUUCAAACAAAGAGUGAAGAAUUAGGGAUUUUAUUUGUUUAGUUUUUGGUUGUUUAUUUUUUAAGUUAAAUAGGCUGUAAAAUAAAAGUGUUUUAAUUUGAAAAAAUAGUCUCUGAGCUCUAUCAUAAAAGGAAUCAAGGGGUUAUAUAUUAUUGUAUUAUGUAUUUAUUUGGCUUAAACAAAAAGAGGGUUUUAUUUGCUUAUGUAAUUGAGAAAUCCAGAAGUUGGGUGGGCUUAGGUAAGGCCAUCUCUAGUAGCUGGAUAAGCCAACCAAGAUUCAGUGUCUUUCCAUUUCUUCUGAGUCUCCC